UGCUGAGACUGAACUAGCUAGAACUAUCUUUGAGCUUGCAAUAUCUCAGCCAACACUUGACAUGCCCUAACUGCUACGAAGGCGUACAUGAUAUCAAAAGGAGAAUCGGAGAGGACACGAGCUUUAUAUGAGCGACUAUUGGACCGCACAAAGCAUUACAAGGUGUGGCGGUGUGGGUUUGUUUUGAAAAGUGUGAAGCUUCUGCUGCGAAACAAGAAGAAGACGAGGAAGAGGAAGACCAAGAAAAAAUAGAUGCUAUUGAACUCAACAAAGAGUGCAUCAGACGUACAG